UAUUUAAAUUAAAUCAAUCUCAGAUUAGGAUAUUCAAUUUCAAAAAUUGAAUUUGAAUUUAAUUUAAUUAAGUUGAAAAUUGAAUUAAAUUAAAUUUGAAAUUGAGUUUAGUGGAAUUGUCCAAGAUUUCAACUUCUUAGUGGAUUUCUCCACAAUUCAAUGCCUAGACCACUUAGCUAAUGCAUUUUGAUGUGUCAAAAUGUUGAAAGACUAGGUGCUUGCAUUGAUUAAUUGAAUAAAUAACCCAACAUAGGAUUGCUCCACGCUAAGCACGCUUAACUUUGAAGUUCUUAUGAUUGAGCCACUGAAAAGGAAGGUGCACCUUGUUGAUAUAGGUAGUAGUAAUUUUCAAUUCUUUUAAGCCUUUCUUAACCAUACUUUCAUGUUCUCAAGAUCCUUCUCAUUCAGAAGUGAUAUCGGCUCAUUCAUGUACCCUCCUGAACUCGGGUCGUUACAUGCCCACCAGCUUCCGCUUGGUUCGUCCUCGAACCACAUCUUACUGGGAGACGUUCCACUCUGAUACCAUAUGGUCGAGGAACGUGUGGUGGUGGAGGAAGUUUUCGAGCGGAGUAAGGUCUCGUUUUGGGACAGUUCGUUAUCAUAAGGUAAUGACAGACUGGCGCAUGACAAGAGAGAUCCGUGACCUGGCCAUUAGGACGAUUUACUGCUUCCGCACUUAGUAUCAUGUUUUGAAGUCUGGUUUAGGAGUUAUACGUUUUUACACUCUCAUGCAAAAUUUAUUAAUUUUAUUAUUUGACUAUUUAAUUGUCUUCAUUUUAAAGUUGGGUUUAGUGGUACCUUGAACGGUAAAUUUUUAUUUUAUUUUAUUUUUGUUUUAGUUUAUUUAUUUUUAUUUAAUUAUGUUUUCUUAUCUUUGCUCAUUUGAGCAUUAUUAAAUAAAAUUUGGCUAUUAAAUAAAUUUUGGCUCUUUUAUUUGAUGGUUUAAAAGAAAAUGUACAAUUAAGCCUAUGCAUGCACGAAGUAGCGUCCUAGAAUUUAGUAGGAAACUAAGGUCGUUACAUGCUUUAUGCAUGUUUAUUCUAUCAAUUGGUAUUAGAGCAUGAUUUAAGCACUCAAUUAACGUUAAUUUGAGUUUGGUGGGUGAAAUUCUAGCAAUACAUGUUCGGGUGACUGAAAUGGUUUUAAUUCAACUUUGGCAUUAGAUUUCUCUUUGAUUCAGUUGUUAAAUUUGUAAUUGGCUCUUGAUUGUAUAUGAUUAAGGGUCUAUAAUUUUAUUAGAGUCAAUAAAGUUGAAGUUAAGCUGUAAUUGAAGAUUGAAGCAAGCAAACUUAGUUGGAAAAAAAUGGAGAAGAAGCCACGGCCAGGCAGCGUCGCUGUAACACUAUUCUUCAUGAAGCCGAGGCAUCGCAACACUGGGAUGGAGCGUUGCAAUGCUGCUCAUCUCAACCCAGAAACACGCGCACACGUGAUUUGGUUAGCAGAAGCGGUCCGAUAUGAUCAAUUUGACGAUAUGAAGUCCGAUUCAACCAUUUUUGGACCGGUUCAACCUCUUUUAGAGCUUUAAAGGGCCGAUUUGGGUGUUCGGGUCGGUUCGAGCAGUCCAAAGGCUUUCUCAAGCUGUUUUUGAAUUAAUUAUAUAAUAAAUUAGUUUAUUGCUUGCUUAG